GCCGGCGUAGCUCAGCCUGGUAGAGCGUUCGCCUCGUAAGCGAAAGGUCGAGGGAUCGACGCCCUCCGCCGGCU
rnacentral:tRNA from 1 species